rnacentral:lncRNA from 1 species
UUUUAGGUUCAAAGUGUGAGACAAAUGCUAGAUGAUUAUUUAAGUUCCUAAGAGAUGCUCUAGUUCUAACAGGUUGAGAGGGAUCAUCUAAAAUUAAUUCCUUAGGAUGACCAUGAGCAUACCUCCAAGCCUUAGUCAGCCCAUGAUCCACAAUUACCUCUGGCUUGUUGAUGCUUCUCCAAUUUGCUUUGGUUCAUCUUCUUAUAAUGUCAUCUCAUCAAUCUUUUCUUCAAGAAUUUCUGCAUCAUCAUCAAGAGCUACUUUCUUGCUAGAAGAGACAUCAUUAGUAUCAUCAAAAACAACAU